CUUAUAGCCUCCUGAAAGGAGGUUGUGGUGAGAGCUGGAACCCUCGUGUGAGUGCACGCACCCAUGGACAUCUACAUGCAUGAGAAAUCCUGGCACGAGCAGCAGAGCACAAAUACAACUGUUGAAGCACACUGGCUGCAUGCAUGAGACCCAAGCAGCAAUGCAGGUCAAAUCACAAAGGGCCAUGCGCAGGCCCAGGAAAAUGUGUAGGCAUCAUCAGACCCCAAGGAGACUCCUCAGCACCCUGUGCUCAGGGUAAUCCUGCUCUGACCACUCCUCCAUACUCCACACUUAGGGAUUUAAGGGUGUUUACGUAGCUGGUGAACAUGUAAGUAGUAAAAUAGAAAUAAAAAAGCUUUCUAGAUCAAGAUUGAUGGGAUUUUGGCAUCAUUCUGUUUUCCUGUACAAACCUACCCAUGCUACUGCACCUGCAACUCUAUGUAAUAUAUCUUUCCAGGACAAAAAGGCAGUGAUGCUCUUUGUGGAUGAAGGACCGCCAUUUUAAAGAUGAAGGAAGCAUGGACACCAGGGUUUUAAAUAACUCAGUUCAUGGCAUAGGUGCCUUGUGAUUUGAUUUCUGCUCACUUUCAUUCAAAUCAGAUGAUCCAAGAGAAAGCUCCAGUCAGUCUUUCUUGACACUGCUCACCCAGGCUACGUACAAACAGGAAACCCCUUCUCAUGAAGGGCUGAAUUCAGAUGGCAUGUCCUUGGCAGAUGUGCGUACAGUGCGUACUGCAUGGGGUGCUGAACACAGUUGCUGACA